rnacentral:misc_RNA from 1 species
AACGCACCUUGCGCUCCUUGGCAUUCCGAGGAGCAUGCCUGUUUGAGUGUCGUCGAAUUCUCAGAACCCCUACCUGAUGUGGAUCAUUGUCCUUGCCGGGGAUGCAACCAAUCCAGGUUGGUUUGCAUCACCAACCCUCUGGGUGUGCCUCUUCUCCGCGGGGGAGGAGAGUACUGGGCUGCUUGGAUUAUCUAUCCAUGAUUGUGACGCCGGCAGAGGCCCCGCCUUUGUUUGGUCUACUCUUUCAGGCAGUGGGUUUUGGAUCUGUGGAGGAUGCAUUGCAUUGCUUUGCUUCUCUGAAAUGCAUCGGCAUUACGGCUUCGUUGUCGGUAUGAUACACAUACAUGUCUUACCUGCUUCUGACCCGUGCCAGCACACACACUCUCUCACGAUCUGACCUCAAAUCAGGCAGGACUACCCGCUGAACUUAA